GUACCGUCAUUAUCUUCCCUACUAAAAGAACUUUACAACCCUAAGGCCUUCAUCAUUCACGUGGUAUUGCUGGAUCAGGCUUUCGCCCAUUGUCCAAUAUUCCUCA
rnacentral:rRNA from 1 species